GCCUUCUUAGCUUAGUCGGUAGAGCAUCCGCUUCGUAAGCGGGAGGUCGUCGGUUCGAUUCCGGCAGAGGGCU
rnacentral:tRNA from 1 species